rnacentral:rRNA from 1 species
GACGAACGCUGGCGGCGUGCUUAACACAUGCAAGUCGAACGGAAAGGCCCUGCUUUUGUGGGGUGCUCGAGUGGCGAACGGGUGAGUAACACGCGAGUAACCUGCCCCUGACUUUGGGAUAACUUCAGGAAACUGGGGCUCAUACCGGAUAGGAGCUCCUGCUGCACGGUGGGGGUUGGAAAGAUUCGGCGGUUGGGGAUGGACUCGCGGCUUAUCAGCUUGUUGGUGGGGUAGUGGCUUACCAAGGCUUUGACGGGUAGCCGGCCUGAGAGGGUGACCGGCCACAUUGGGACUGAGGUACGGCCCAGACUCCUACGGGAGGCAGCAGUGGGGAAUAUUGCACAGUGGGCGGAAGCCUGAUGCAGCAACGCCGCGUGCGGGAUGACGGCCUUCGGGUUGUAAACCGCUUUCGCCUGUGACGAAGCGUGAGUGACGGUAAUGGGUAAAGAAGCACCGGCUAACUACGUG